rnacentral:rRNA from 1 species
CCUACGGAUGGCAGCAGUGGGGAAUAUUGGACAAUGGGGGGAACCCUGAUCCAGCCAUGCCGCGUGUGUGAAGAAGGCCCUCGGGUUGUAAAGCACUUUCAGUGAGGAAGAACGCCUGGUGGUUAAUACCCAUCAGGAAAGACAUCACUCACAGAAGAAGCACCGGCUAACUCCGUGCCAGCAGCCGCGGUAAUACGGAGGGUGCGAGCGUUAAUCGGAAUUACUGGGCGUAAAGCGCGCGUAGGUGGCUUGAUAAGCCGGUUGUGAAAGCCCCGGGCUCAACCUGGGAACGGCAUCCGGAACUGUCAAGCUAGAGUGCAGGAGAGGAAGGUAGAAUUCCCGGUGUAGCGGUGAAAUGCGUAGAGAUCGGGAGGAAUACCAGUGGCGAAGGCGGCCUUCUGGACUGACACUGACACUGAGGUGCGAAAGCGUGGGUAGCAAACAGGAUUAGAUACCCUAGUAGUC